rnacentral:lncRNA from 1 species
UCUGCAACCAUAAAUUCUGUUUCAUUUAUUUAUUUAAAUAUAUUUCCUUUUUCUUUAAGAAAGAUUCUAGAAGUGGAAUUUCUGGCCCACGGAUGCAAUUGUGAGGACAUUUAUGAAGCUCCUGUCCAACACCAGUCCAGAAGGCUGGUCCCCAGAAGGCUCCCUGAGCAAGAGGGGGUCUGCCGCACAGCUCCUGGCAGGCACCUGUGGCACUGAUCUGGCCUGGCAGGAUGCCCAGCUCCACAGAGCCCCCUCACCUGCAUUUUGAAGCAAUGCGCUCCUUGAAGUCUAAUGCCAUUAUGAACGAGUGUGACCGUUUUCCUGCUGUGUUGUGGAAAGGAGCUCUCAUGAUCUCUUCUCUGUCAUGUGCUGAUGCUGCCUGAAUAGCGGGUUCCAGAAAAACACACAAAUGAGCAGGUGCUUGCUCAGAAGGUCUAUUAGCAGGGAUCCUUUAGAACCCCAAAUCAAUGUUUAAUAACCAUGUUAAGAA